AAGACGCCAGAAUGAAAUAUAGAGUCAGAGAAUAUAAACCCUUUCUGGAAAGAAAUGAAUGAAAAGAGAGAUUAAGCUCCUCCCAAUCUCUGUGCUAAAUACUUAAUGCAGAUUAUUUAAUUUAAUCCUUAAAACAAUAGUGCAGAAUAUGAUCCACAUGGCCAUAUGUGGAUUAAUCUCAGGCGAUGGAGCCACCCUGAUUUUUCAACACACAAUAAUCAUGAAACACUACAGUGAUGAGCAAUAGGAAAGGGGGUACCUUAUCUACACGGUUUUGAAGUACAGGAUAGUUUAUAAAGAAGAACAUGUUUUUCUUGAAGAAUUAUAAGUAAAAUUUACAAAUUUACUGAAGGACAAAUGAAGUCUGCCCUGGUCUGGACCUUGGCAGGCAUUUCUAAGGUGUGCAUAUUAACCUACAAGGGGAUACUCUGGUUUCUCUUCAGAUCAUAUAAAUCUUUCACCUUUUUACCUCCAAGGGGUCCACAACAUGUAGCACCAAGAGAGGACUUGACCAGGAUGAAAGACAUUUCUAGUAGAACACCUGCUGCUGACAUUCCUGGAACACAGCCAUGCCAAUGCAUUUCCUAACUGUCAAUGACUGCUUUUGUGCUACAAUGGCAGAGGUGGUAAAUCACAAGAGAGAUCUUAGGCCAAACAGUCUAAAUAAAAUAUUUGCAAUCUGGCCCUGUACAGAAAAAUGUUGGCAGCGUCUCUGUGCAAAAUGAGUAAAGGAAUGAAUUCAUAGCUAUCACUAAAAUUUAAGAUACAAGAAGAAAAUAUAUUGCUAUAUUUUACUGCAUGAAAAUGAAAAAAAAACUUGCAAUGCAAAACGCAGCAUAAGAUGAAGCAAAAGACAAAUGACAAACCAUGAGGAAAACUUGCAACUUGUAUAGCACAUAAUGGUCAACUAUCCUCAAAAUAAAAAUCCAUUCUAAAAAUGGAAGUAAAUCACUUAACACAUCCUGUAGGAAAGUAGCAAAAGAUGAAAAGCCAAUUUAUGAAAAGAAAUAUAAAAAAUAGUUCUUAAAAAUAUAAAUAGAAGUUCAACUUCACUUUUAAUAAGAUAAAUAUUAAUUAAAACUAUAUUGAGAUACCAUUUCACAUUCACAAGAUUGAAUAAAAAUAAUAACCUCGUGAAGCUAUGGGAAAAACAGACAUCUCACACAUUGCUACUAAGGAUGCAAAAUACAACACUUUUGUGAAAGAAUCUGGAAACCUGAACCAGCCCCGCCUUCCUGCCAAUGCCUGACAAGUUCUUUUAGCAGGGACCUCACUUCUUACCUUGUACCCUGGGGAGCUAGCCAGGUCAACAGGAUGCUACUGCUGGAAGUGAUCAUCAUCUCAUCCCUCUGGACUUUUGGCCUUGGGCAGGUGAAGUUAGAACAACAUGAAAUAUCAGUUUCCAGAGCAAGAGAUAAGACUGCUCGCAUAUCAUGCAAGGUGAUCACUGAGGAUUUUAACAGUGAAGUUAUACACUGGUACCGACACAAACCAGAUCAGGAGAUAGAACAUCUAAUAAUGGUCCAAACAAGCUCUACUCAAGCUUCUUUAGAUGGGAGGAAAAACAAACUUGAGGCAAGUAAAAAUGCCGUUACUUCCACAUCAACUUUGAGUAUAAAUUUCUUACAAGAAGAAGACGAAGCCAUGUACUACUGUGCCUGCUGGAAAGGAUCCACAGCAUCAGAGUUGCCAAAAGAAGCUGCACAAGAAUCAUCUUCAGGUCUGACCCACCCACAUUCUUCUCAAUAUGAGCAACCACAGAAGCUGCACAGCUGGGUGACCACUCUGAGCCUCUGUCCCUUGGCAGUAUUUCCUGAGCUUUGCAGGAAGACAUCAUUGGUUCUGCUCAGUGAAUUCCACAUGAUAUCAGCAAUGAUAGCAUAUGUAUAACCAUUUUGAUACUAUUUUCCUUGAAAUUCACUUGUCUGAGAACUCUGAAAAUACAAGGUGGUUGGUUCAGA